AUUGAACGCUAGCGGGAUGCUUUACACAUGCAAGUCGAACGGCAGCGCGGACUUCGGUCUGGAGGCGAGUGGCGAACGGGUGAUUAAUGUAUCGGAACGUGCCCAGUAGCGGGGGAUAACUACGCGAAAGCGUAGCUAAUACCGCAUACGCCCUACGGGGGAACGCAGGGGAUCGUAAGACCUUGCACUAUUUGAGCGGCCGAUAUCGGAUUAGCUAGUUGGUUAGGUAACGUCUCACCACGCCGACGAUCCGUAGCUGGUUUGAGAGGACGACCAGCCACACAGGAACUGAGACACGACGCAGACUCCUACGGGAGGCAGCAGUGGGGAAUUUUGGACAAUGGGGGCAAGCCUGAUCCAGCCAUCCCGCGUGUGAGAUGAAGGCAUUCGGGUUGUAAAGCACUUUUGGCAGGAAAGAAACGUCGCGGGCUAAUACAGCGAGGAACUGACGGUACCUGCAGAAUAAGCACCGGCUAACUACGUG
rnacentral:rRNA from 1 species